GAAACAUCAGGUCAGACAUGUUCUUUAGUUUUAGUCAGAAACAUCAGGUCAGACAUGUUCUUUAGUUUUAGACAGAAACAUCAGGUCAGACAUGUUCUUUAGUUUUAGACAGAAACAUCAGGUUAGACAUGUUCUUUAGUUUUAGACAGAAACAUCAGGUCAGACAUGUUCUUUAGUUUUAGACAGAAACAUCAGGUCAGACAUGUUCUUUAGUUUUAGACAGAAACAUCAGGUUAGACAUGUUCUUUAGUUUUAGACAGAAACAUCAGGUCAGACAUGUUCUUUAGUUUUAGACAGAAACAUCAGGUCAGACAUGUUCUUUAGUUUUAGACAGAAACAUCAGGUCAGAAACAUCAGGUCAGACAUGUUCUUUAGUUUUAGAC